AUGCUCACUUUGGUAGUACAUAUACUAAAAUUGAAAGAAUACAGAGAAGAUUAGCAUGGCCCACAAGAAUGACACACAGAUUUGUGAUUUUAAUACAUACAU
rnacentral:snRNA from 1 species